UACGUAGGGGGCAAGCGUUGUCCGGAAUCAUUGGGCGUAAAGCGCGCGUAGGCGGCCCGGUAAGUCCGUUGUGAAAGUCAAAGGCUCAACCUUUGAACGCCGAUGGAUACUGCCGGGCUAGAGUCCGGAAGAGGCGAGUGGAAUUCCUGGUGUAGCGGUGAAAUGCGCAGAUAUCAGGAGGAACACCAAUGGCGAAGGCAGCACUCUGGGACGUGACUGACGCUGAGACGCGAAAGCGUGGGGAGCAAACAGG
rnacentral:rRNA from 1 species